AAACGCGGGAAUUAAGACUAAAACAAUAAUAACUGAUUUAAAGCGAAGACAACUUUAUUAAUCAGUUUUUAUGAGAUUAUGAGUUUGAGUUUUGGGCCCCCUGAAAAUCUCGUUUGCCUAAUGUGCAACAGGUGUAAAUGAGAAGCUGGAGUUUAAUCCUGGGCUGAAUCAUGAUGUCUUUGAGGAGCCACAGAAGACGAUCCCUCUUCCAGGACGGACAGACGUGCAGUAGAUGUCGCCUGCACAGAACAGAACAACAACGACUCCAGACUUUCACAGUUUAUGCCAUGCAUAUGCCAAAGUGGUAUGCCAGUCCUUUCCAGUGACUUCGUGGAGACCAGAUGUCCAAAUACCAAGUGUUGUAUCAGACGUCUCACCCAGAAGCUUCCAGUUACUUCUCUGUGUUACAGGCAGCUGGAUCUGAUGUUUCAGCAACACAGAUUUGGUAACUUUCCCCUCGCGAUGUUGUGAAAUGCCCAAGUGUCCUCUUUAGCAGCAUGAGAGUGAGAGCAAGUCCCCGAAGGCUGUGAUUAAAGAGGCAGAGUGUCCGUGUGUCCUGUGUUCUGUAAGACAUGAUUAAGUGUGGCUGAAGAGUUGUGGACCGUGUCGUGGUGAUGUAGUAAUCAUAAUAUUGACCUCAAAACUGAUUUGAAACAUGUCACAGCUAACGACUGUCGACUCUCUGACUGUUGAUGACACACAAGGAGAAGGGACUUUUUGUACGGGAUAAGAUUUUAAAAUCUGUCUGUAAAGAUGUCCAAUAAUCAGGCACAAGAUAUUCUGAGUUACCAAUUUAAUUCCCAAAUUCAAUUCUGCAUUUCUUCCUCUGACAGAUUUAUUCCAAGUGGUUCAGCCGAGACAAGAAUUGGAGAAAAUAUGUCCUUUAAAAGAUUAACGAAAUAAAAUGUGAGAACUGGAAAACAGAUCCGGUAACCAUGUUGUGUUCGACAGUCGACAGGAUAAAAUGUUCGCAGUUAACUACAGAACAAUUUCCAGUCGUGUUCGUAGUGCUCAAAACACUUAUCGUACGCCAGACCAUGAUGUUUUACUAACUGUAAACAAGUGUGUCUUCUCAUCUGUGGUUUUGCAGAAACAUGCGUUGCUUUUCUGGUAAUUGUGCACAAAUAAUCUGAUUUCUGCCUGCAAAAAAGGGGGACAAGGGAUUGUUUUGUUUAAGGAAACUGUCCUUAUUUCCACUUCGACAGAACCACCAUGAUUAAUCUAUCAUGCUUUUAUUGAAUCAAUUUUAUCUUUUUCUUUGGUGUCAUGGUUGUGAAACCCACUUUUAACAGAUGCUGUCCUCUCAGUUUCAGUGGACGGCCAGCUCAAACGAA